rnacentral:rRNA from 1 species
CGAGGUUGAUAGGCCGGAAGUGUAAGUACAGUGAUGUAUUCAGCUGACCGGUACUAAUUUGCCGAUUGGCUUGACUGC